AGAGUUUGAUCCUGGCUCAGGACGAACGCUGGCGGCGUGCCUAACACAUGCAAGUCGAACGAAGCUUGAUUGCGGAUUCUUCGGAAGAAGCAUGAUAUGACUUAGUGGCGGACGGGUGAGUAACGCGUGAGCAACCUGCCUUUCAGAGGGGGAUAACAGUUGGAAACGACUGCUAAUACCGCAUAACGUGUUGAUAUCGCAUGGUAUUAACACCAAAGCUGAGGCGCUGAAAGAUGGGCUCGCGUCCGAUUAGGUAGUUGGUGGGGUAAAGGCCUACCAAGCCGACGAUCGGUAGCCGGACUGAGAGGUUGAACGGCCACAUUGGGACUGAGACACGGCCCAGACUCCUACGGGAGGCAGCAGUGGGGGAUAUUGCACAAUGGGCGAAAGCCUGAUGCAGCAACGCCGCGUGAGGGAAGACGGUUUUCGGAUUGUAAACCUCUGUCUUUGGUGAAGAAGAAAGUGACGGUAGCCAAGGAGGAAGCCACGGCUAACUACGUGCCAGCAGCCGCGGUAAUACGUAGGUGGCAAGCGUUGUCCGGAAUUACUGGGUGUAAAGGGAGCGCAGGCGGGACUGCAAGUUGGAUGUGAAAUACCGCAGCUUAACUGCGGAGCUGCAUCCAAAACUGUAGUUCUUGAGUGAAGUAGAGGUAGGCGGAAUUCCGAGUGUAGCGGUGAAAUGCGUAGAUAUUCGGAGGAACACCGGUGGCGAAGGCGGCCUACUGGGCUUUUACUGACGCUGAGGCUCGAAAGUGUGGGGAGCAAACAGGAUUAGAUACCCUGGUAGUCC
rnacentral:rRNA from 1 species